rnacentral:rRNA from 1 species
GAUGAACGCUGGCGGCGUGCCUAAUACAUGCCAGUCGAGCGAACGGACGAGAAGCUUGCUUUUCUGAUGUUAGCGGCGGACGGGUGAGUAACACGUGGAUAACCUACCUAUAAGACUGGGAUAACUUCGGGAAACCGGAGCUAAUACCGGAUAAUAUUUUGAACCGCAUGGUUCAAAAGUGAAAGACGGUCUUGCUGUCACUUAUAGAUGGAUCCGCGCUGCAUUAGCUAGUUGGUAAGGUAACGGCUUACCAAGGCAACGAUGCAUAGCCGACCUGAGAGGGUAAUAUGCCACACUGGACCGGGAGCACGGUCCAGAAUCCUGCGGGAGGCAGCAGUAGGGAAUCUUCCGCAAUGGGCGAAAGCCUGAAGGAGCAACGCCGCGUGAGUGAUGAAGGUCUUCGGAUCGUAAAACUCUGUUAUUAGGGAAGAACAUAUGUGUAAGUAACUGUGCACAUCUUGACGGUACCUAAUCAGAAAGCCACGGCUAACUACGUG